rnacentral:rRNA from 1 species
CAAGUCGAAGCGGUAGAGAGAAGCUUGCUUCUCUUGAGAGCGGCGGACGGGUGAGUAAUGCCUAGGAAUCUGCCUGGUAGUGGGGGAUAACGCUCGGAAACGGACGCUAAUACCGCAUACGUCCUACGGGAGAAAGCAGGGGACCUUCGGGCCUUGCGCUAUCAGAUGAGCCUAGGUCGGAUUAGCUAGUUGGUGAGGUAAUGGCUCACCAAGGCGACGAUCCGUAACUGGUCUGAGAGGAUGAUCAGUCACACUGGAACUGAGACACGGUCCAGACUCCUACGGGAGGCAGCAGUGGGGAAUAUUGGACAAUGGGCGAAAGCCUGAUCCAGCCAUGCCGCGUGUGUGAAGAAGGUCUUCGGAUUGUAAAGCACUUUAAGUUGGGAGGAAGGGCAUUAACCUAAUACGUUGGUGUCUUGACGUUACCGACAGAAUAAGCACCGGCUAAC